rnacentral:rRNA from 1 species
UACGUAGGGUGCGAGCGUUGUCCGGAAUUACUGGGCGUAAAGAGCUCGUAGGUGGUUUGUCGCGUUGUCCGUGAAAACUCACAACUCAAUUGUGGGCGUGCGGGCGAUACGGGCAGACUGGAGUACUGCAGGGGAGACUGGAAUUCCUGGUGUAGCGGUGGAAUGCGCAGAUAUCAGGAGGAACACCGGUGGCGAAGGCGACUACCUGGCCUGUUCUUGACGCUGAGGCGCGAAAGCUAGGGGAGCAAACGGG